ensembl:lncRNA
AAAAUAUUUAAGCAAUUUAAUUAAUUAUACGUGUGUACAUGUGAUAAAUAUGAUAAAACAGAUAUUUAAACCAGCUAAAAAUCCAAAAUUAUCACAAAUUAUUUAUGUAUUAACAAUUGAGAUUGAUUAAAUGAUAGUCAGAUGUGUUAAAGUAAAGGAAAAUAGCUAUUGAAUGUUUUAAAUUUAAAAAAGUGAAAAACUAGAUCUUUGCUGAUUUGUUUGGAGAUGUUUAAACACUACGAAGUUCACUCUGUUCCACAGCUAAUGUCAGUCUAGUGUUCUGCUGUGCUGCACUAGAGGUCGCAGUGAGCACUAGAUUGAGUCAGCGCUGGUGCUCGCAGCUCUCGCCGGGUGCAGUGGCGCGCGCCUGUAAUCCAAGCUGCUGGGAGGCUGAGGCUGGCGGAUCGCUUGAGUUCAGGGGUUCUGGGCUGCAGUGGACUAUGUCGAUCAGGUGUCCGCGCUAAGUUCGGUAUCGAUAUGGUGCUCCUGGGGGAGCUCGGGACCACCAGGUCGUCUAAGGAGGGGUGAACCGGCCCAGGUCGGAGACGGAGCAGGUCAAAGCCCCCGUGCCGAUCAGUAGUGGGGUCGCGCCUGUGAAUAGACACUGCAGUGUCUAUUCACAGGUGCGACCCCACUACUGAUCGGCACGGGGGCUUUGACCUGCUCCGUCUCCGACCUGGGCCGGUUCACCCCUCCUUAGACGACCUGGUGGUCCCGAGCUCCCCCAGGAGCACCAUAUCGAUACCGAACUUAGCGCGGACACCCGAUCGACAUAGUCCACUGCAGCCCAGAACCCCUGAACUCAAGCGAUCCGCCAGCCUCAGCCUCCCAGCAGCUUGGAUUACAGGCACGCGCCACUGCACCCGGCGAGAGCUGCGAGCAUCAGCGCUGCUACUCAAUCUAGUGCUCACUGCGCCCUCUAGUGCAGCACAGCAGAAAUUAGUUUUUAAACUUGUUACAUUUUCACAAGUCACUGGAACGUUUACAAUGCUUUACUCUCCAAACAGAUCAUCAAAACUGCACUUUUAUAAAUGUUUGAACAUAAUUUUAAUCGACUCACAAAGUACUUUUUCACCACAAAUAAUUUUAAUUGACUCACGAAGUACCCUUUUCACCACAAAUUAGAUAGACUGAGUACAUUUGGGACAUGUGCAGUUGAAACACAUUAACUUGCGUGGACAGAAACGGCACCCGAGCAGUGUUUUUUGCUCCACACAUGAGUGUUAGCGUUCUCUUUGAUUGCGGAAAUUUGAAUGUUGUGCAUCUUUCCAAUCCAAAGAUAUUGUAAAAGUUUUUUUUGUUGCAAGGUAAGAUUUUCAUUUCACCACCUCCCUUCCACGAUGAAUAGCUUAUUAUACAUUUAUGAUUGUUAAACUUAAUUGCUGAAAUUAACUGCCUUGCAUAAAACCGUUGAUUUAUUUUAACAUUUAACAUUGAAUCUAGUUUGCUCACAGCGCCCUCUAGUGUAUGAAUCAUGUAACACCAUCUGACCAGCGGAGAGCUUGCCGCUAUUCAGAGGGCAGAGACAGGUUUGGAAAAUUUUGAGGAUGAGUAAAGAUGACAAGAUUUUCAAUUUUUGAGUGAACUAUCCCUUUAAUAAUUAAAAAAACACGGUUUGGAGAAUGUGCAAGUUACAUAGGGUCAGCUAGUUUUAUUCCAGUCCAUCAUCGCACUUACAUGUUCAUUCACUUCACUAAAGUAAGAGAAAAAUGAUAAGGCCUUCGAAUGUAUAGCCUCCGUUAAAGCACUUCAUCUAAAACACUAAUUUACUAUGAUGUUUAGAAAAAUAACAGAUAUAAAUACAGAAAAAUUAAUGAAUAUAACAAUAAUGAUUCAGCAUGAUUAUGACACUGAAGACUGGAGCAUUAACAAAAUCAGGGAAUAUCCAGAAUAUAAAAAUAAAUACAUUUUCACCAUCUAUUUAGGGUUAAAA